rnacentral:rRNA from 1 species
UACGUAGGGUGCGAGCGUUAAUCGGAAUUACUGGGCGUAAAGCGUGCGCAGGCGGUUCGUUAUGUCCGAUGUGAAAGCCCCGAGCUCAACUUGGGAAUGGCAUUGGAAACUGGCGGGCUGGAGUGUGGCAGAGGGGGGUGGAAUUCCACGUGUAGCAGUGAAAUGCGUAGACAUGCGGAGGAACACCGAUGGCGAAGGCAAUCCCCUGGGCCUGUACUGACGCUCAUGCACGAAAGCGUGGGGAGCAAACAGG